rnacentral:rRNA from 1 species
GUCUACGGCCACACCUAGGCGAAAACACCAGUUCCCGUCCGAUCACUGCAGUUAAGAGUCUGAGGGUCUCGUUAGUACUAUGGUUGGAGACAACAUGGGAAUCCGGGAUGCUGUAGGCU